rnacentral:tRNA from 1 species
GGGUCGGUAGCUUAGUGUGGAAGAGCGUACGUGUUCCCCAACCGUAAGAUGCGGGUUCGAUUCCUGCUCGACCCUCCA